CAGCAGCCGCGGGAAUACGAAGGGUGCAAGCGUUAAUCGGAAUUACUGGGCGUAAAGCGUGCGUAGGCGGUGAGUUAAGUCUGCUGUGAAAUCCCCGGGCUCAACCUGGGAAUGGCAGUGGAUACUGGCUCGCUAGAGUGUGUCAGAGGAUGGUGGAAUUCCCGGUGUAGCGGUGAAAUGCGUAGAGAUCGGGAGGAACAUCAGUGGCGAAGGCGGCCAUCUGGGACAACACUGACGCUGAGGCACGAAAGCGUGGGGAGCAAACAGAAUUAGAUACCCCGGUAGUCCCUGUCUCUUAUAC
rnacentral:rRNA from 1 species